GGGGACGAACUGGUUUCGACCGGGCUAGUGAAGUGUAGGUUGCGUGUCGUGGUUGGUCAGCGGGCCACGUUAAAAGCCGACUAUUAAAUUCAAAUGCCGAACCUAAAAUGGCAUUGGCUGCCUAAUGAAAGGCUGCCCCGAGUACAUGCUGUCGCCGAAAUGGUGUGAUAUUCGGACGUAAAUUCGGAUCGUUCCCGUUCAAGUCGAUUACGGCGGGGGCUAAAAAGGUUGUCGAAUCGUUUGCGAGGUACCGUUGUCGGUAAGGGACUGAGCGAGCUAAAAAUUAAAUAACCGGACACACACGUAGAUACUUAUGUGGAGCAGUUUCGGGACGCGGGUUCGAUUCCCGCCGUCUCCAAUU
rnacentral:tmRNA from 1 species